CUGACGAGUGGCGGACGGGUGAGUAAUGUCUGGGAAACUGCCUGAUGGAGGGGGAUAACUACUGGAAACGGUAGCUAAUACCGCAUAACGUCGCAAGACCAAAGAGGGGGACCUUCGGGCCUCUUGCCAUCGGAUGUGCCCAGAUGGGAUUAGCUUGUGGUGGGGUAACGGCUCACCAGGCGACGAUCCCUAGCUGGUCUGAGAGGAUGACCAGCCACACUGGAACUGAGACACGGUCCAGACUCCUACGGGAGGCAGCAGUGGGGAAUAUUGCACAAUGGGCGCAAGCCUGAUGCAGCCAUGCCGCGUGUAUGAAGAAGGCCUUCGGGUUGUAAAGUACUUUCAGCGGGGAGGAAGGGAGUAAAGUUAAUACCUUUGCUCAUUGACGUUACCCGCAGAAGAAGCACCGGCUAACUCCGUGCCAGCAGCCGCGGUAAUACGGAGGGUGCAAGCGUUAAUCGGAAUUACUGGGCGUAAAGCGCACGCAGGCGGUUUGUUAAGUCAGAUGUGAAAUCCCCGGGCUCAACCUGGGAACUGCAUCUGAUACUGGCAAGCUUGAGUCUCGUAGAGGGGGGUAGAAUUCCAGGUGUAGCGGUGAAAUGCGUAGAGAUCUGGAGGAAUACCGGUGGCGAAGGCGGCCCCCUGGACGAAGAC
rnacentral:rRNA from 1 species